rnacentral:rRNA from 1 species
AUGAAGAAGAAAGACGCGGGAGGUGGCGGUGGCGGUGGGGGUGGAGCGCUCGUCGCCGUCCCGUGCGUGGACAUCAAGCUCUUCGUCGCCUCGCUCGCCUUCCUCACGCUCUUCGUCGCGUUGUGGCAGCUCCAGCCCUACGGCUCCCUCCUCGCCGCCGCCCGCUCCUCCGCAUCCGCGCCCCCCUGCGCCCUUCCCCUCGCCACAACCUCCGCUGCCGCCGCCAGCAACAUCAACAACACUGAGGUUCACUCCGCCAACUCGACGUCCUCCAACGCAGCUACCAAGGGCGCACCGGUGGCGACGUCGGCUCCGGCCACGGCCGCCGUCGCCGCUGUUCCGAUGCGGUUGGCGAAGCCGGCGCCGCGGACGGAGGACCCGAACACGAACAAGCCGGUGCUCACUCGGCCGCCCGUAAGCGCGGCGGCGCGGACGGAGGACCCGAGCACGAACAAGCCGGUGCUCACUCGGCCGCACGUAAGCGCCGCGGCGCGGACGGAGGACCCGAACACGAACAAGCCGGUGCUCCCUCGACCGCACGUAAGCUCGGCGGCGCGGGCGGAGCAGCCGAACACGAACAAGCCGGUGCUCCCUCGGCCGCACGUAACCGCGGCGGCGCGCGCGGAGGAGCCGAAAAGGCCGGUGCCCCGGCCGUCCGGCAGCGCGGCGGUGCGCCUGGAGGACCCGAAAAGGCCGGUGCUCCGGCCGUACGGCAGCGCGGCGGCGCUGUUCGUGCAGAUGGGCGCGUACCGGGGCGGGCCGCGGACGUUCGCCAUCGUGGGGCUGGCGUCUAAGCCCACCCACGUGUUCGGCACCCCCUACUUCAAGUGCGAGUGGCAGCCCAACCCGAGCGCCGCUGACCCGGCGCCGCCCGCCGUCCGGACCAAGGCCUACAAGAUCCUGCCGGACUGGGGGUACGGCCGCGUCUACACCACCGUCGUCGUCAACUGCACCUUCCCCUCCAACCCCAACGCGGCCAACGCCGGCGGCAGGCUGCUCGUCCACGCCUACCACUCCACGGCCUCCCGCCGGUACGAGCGCUUCGUGGCGCUGGAGGAGGCGCCGGGCGCCUACGACGAGGCCAUCUUCAGCCCGCCGUUCCAGUACGACUACCUCUACUGCGGCUCCUCGCUCUACGGCAACCUCAGCGCCAGCCGCAUGCGCGAGUGGGUGGCCUACCACGCGCACUUAUUCGGGCCCAGGUCGCACUUCGUCUUCCACGACGCCGGCGGCGUCAGCCCGGAGGUGAGGGCGGUGCUGGACCCGUGGAUCAGGGCGGGGCGGAUCACGGUGCAGGACAUCCGGGCGCAGGCCGAGUUCGACAGCUACUACUACAACCAGUUCCUGGUGGUGAACGACUGCCUGCACCGGUACCGGCACGCCGCCAACUGGACCUUCUUCUUCGACGUCGACGAGUACCUCUACCUGCCCAACGGCCAGGCUCUGGACCAGGUGCUCGGCAAGCUCUCGGGCUACACGCAGUUCACCAUCGAGCAGAAUCCCAUGUCCACCAAGCUCUGCGUCAAGAAUCCGAGGAAUGAUUACUCAAGGGAAUGGGGAUUCGAGAAGUUCGUGUUCCGGAACUCGAUCACGAGGGUCCGGCGCGACCGCAAGUACGCGAUCCAGGCGCGGAACGCGUAUGCGACCGGGGUGCACAUGUCGCAGAACGUGUACGGGAGGUCGACGCACAAGACGGAGGCCCUCAUCAGGUACUACCACUACCACAACUCCAUCAACGUGCUGGGGGAGCCCUGCCAGGAGUUUGUGCCGCGGCCCGGCGGCGGCCGCAAGGUUACGUUUGAGGGCGUCCCCUACGUGUACGACGACGCCAUGAAGCGCCUCGCCGGCGAGAUCCGGCGGUUCGAGAACCAAACCAUCGGAUCAUCUCUUACAUAA